GACGAACGCUGGCGGCGUGCUUAACACAUGCAAGUCGAACGGUAAGGCCCUUCGGGGUGCACGAGUGGCGAACGGGUGAGUAACACGUGGGUGAUCUGCCCUGCACUUCGGGAUAAGCCUGGGAAACUGGGUCUAAUACCGGAUAGGACCACUGCCUACAUGGGUGGUGGUGGAAAGCUGUUGCGGUGUGGGAUGGGCCCGCGGCCUAUCAGCUUGUUGGUGGGGUGAUGGCCUACCAAGGCGACGACGGGUAGCCGGCCUGAGAGGGUGACCGGCCACACUGGGACUGAGAUACGGCCCAGACUCCUACGGGAGGCAGCAGUGGGGAAUAUUGCACAAUGGGCGCAAGCCUGAUGCAGCGACGCCGCGUGAGGGAUGACGGCCUUCGGGUUGUAAACCUCUUUCAGCACCGACGAAGCGCAAGUGACGGUAGGUGCAGAAGAAGGACCGGCCAACUACGUGCCAGCCGCCGCCGUAA
rnacentral:rRNA from 1 species